rnacentral:lncRNA from 1 species
CUUGGUCUGGGGCUAAGAGUUUUCUGAAUUCUGUUAUUGAAGGAGAUAUAUGGAGCCCUUUGAGUAGAAAUAAAAUUAGAUAAACCUCAAAACAGAGCACCCUUUUCCCCAUUUUUUAAAAAAUAUAUCUACAGAAAUAAAAUCCAAGAUUGAACAGAACUUGAAAAAGAAAAGUCGAACAAUGUUCUUGAAUUAAAUGUCAAAGGGAGGGGGAAAAAGAAUAAAACAACACUAGGGAUAAAAGACAUAAGGAAGUCUGGAAGUAUCAGUAACUUGACAUGAAUGGAGCUCCAAGUAGUCACAAAAUACAAAGCUGACUUCCAAAGCUCAGGAAUCAAGCUAGAAAAUUAUGUCUUUUUAAAAGAAAGGCAACUUUACUCCAGUUUCUAGGCCUUGAGAAGAUACAGCAGUCUUCUUUUGUUCCAAGUUAUUUUUGCUCUGCUGUCACCACAGCUAGAAGCUUAAUUCAUACAAGUCUGAAAUUCUUGAACAAUUAGUCGGCUUUCUGAGAGGCCACAAAUAUUAAUAGACUCAUGAGAAAGUCUUAUGAACUGGCAAGGCUGAAUCAGGAACCCCUAGUGUCAGAGCAAACCCAAACAGAGACAACAUGAAUUGCUGAUUGAAGCCAGGGCAAAUCUCUCUAUAAAUCCUGUGUGAGCCAGAGAUUCUCUGUGUGACCUUUGGCAAUUUGUAUGGCCUUGGUGUGUUCCUCUGUCUACUCAGCUGGAAAACUGGUUUGAAAAAAAAAAAAAAAAAAAAAAAGCAGGAGCUGACCAAAAACCAGAUGCUGAGUAUGAGCUAAGCCUUUCCAGAUCACAGCAACAGUGCUUCGCACAAAACAGCGGCCAGCAUCGUUUGCCCCUGGGGCUGCAGGGACAUACAUCCAGAAAAGAAAAAUCCGCUCCUGUGCUGGAACCAGCUUCUCCAAGCUGGGCUCUCACUCCAGCAGUGGCUGUACCAGGCUCAAGCAUGACUGCCCUCCUUCCCUGGGGGACAGGAGCUCUGCCACACACCCAGCAGCUGGGCAGCCCUGCGGGGAUCCUGGAGGAGGGGUGCCACAGCAAGACCAAAAAGGUUCCCUGAGCGUGGAGGUGAUCAGUUGUGCACAUCAGUGCACUCAGCAGAGCAAGGUUCAAGAUCAACACCGUUACACAAUAAAGCAGCAGCUCACUUGCCCCUGUUUAAGGAUUUCAGCACACAGGUUCACAGCCCUGGAUGCUGCUGAAGAAAAACUUUGCUAGCAGGAAGGUACUGGAACACAGCACUGGUAUGAAGGACAUGGGUGUUUUUCCAAGAAACUUGAAUCAGUCCAGGCUUUAAGUUUCAUUUCCCUCAGCAACACUAGGCAAGAUCAGGCACAGCAAGACUAUUGCAGCCUACUUUUUGUCAGCGGCUUGCAAACAGAAACUCAACAGCUUAACAGUUUAACACAGCUGGGGAUAUUCAGCUUCAAUGACUAAAUAUGCCUGAAAGAUGUCAUAGCUGACUUGGAGGAUUUUACAUUUAUUCUGCCCGAAGACUCACUGUAACACUGUUUGUCACUGCAGGUAAUUGGCCCUGCUCAGUCUCUGUGUUCAACAAAGAAAGGCUCCAGAUCUUACUGUCUGUGGGUGAAAAGGAGAGCAUUUUUCAGUCCAUCUUGGCUGUAGGUUUCAAUAUUUCUUUUCUAAGGAGAAGAAAGCAAAGAAGUUUACAGCUGCUUCUGAGGGACAGAUUCACAGGGAUGAGCAGAGUUGGGUACUAGAGGGAAAAAAAAAAUACUUGGAGAGACUUGCAGCUUCUCUCCCUCACUAGCAAGUCCCUAAGCACCUCUGGCCACACAACACACAGGAUUAGGACUCCUCUACCUGCCUUUCCCAACCUAUUGAAGGUGUACCUCUCCUUACUUUCAGCAGGUAUUUACCCCAGCACUGCCUUUUACCUAUGAGAUACUUUUGACAGCGCUGCCCUACUUCUUCCUCUUCCUCAUUUUUGGGCACCAAAGUGCUCAGGGCCCUUCCUGAUCAGCUUUUUUUUGCCCUGCUUCAAGCAUGUGGAGGGUCCUGGCUCUAGCCCAGGUAAAGAUCGUUUCUGUUUCAGGUUACUCUGCUAAAGGAAAAUCUCAUUCAUCUUUCUCAUUUCCACAUUCUCAAGAUACCACAAGCACCUUCUCAAUAUCUUCUUCUAGAUAAUCUUUUGCAGCCUGGUGGGUUGUUGGUGGGGACGGUAAGAAAAAGAUAAGUGGAAAGGAGCAGGCAGGAC